AUUGAACGCUGGCGGCAGGCUUAACACAUGCAAGUCGAGCGAGGUGAUGGUGCUUGCACUAUCACUUAGCGGCGGACGGGUGAGUAAUGCUUAGGAAUCUGCCUAUUAGUGGGGGACAACAUCUCGAAAGGGAUGCUAAUACCGCAUACGUCCUACGGGAGAAAGCAGGGGAUCACUUGUGACCUUGCGCUAAUAGAUGAGCCUAAGUCGGAUUAGCUAGUUGGUGGGGUAAAGGCCUACCAAGGCGACGAUCUGUAGCGGGUCUGAGAGGAUGAUCCGCCACACUGGGACUGAGACACGGCCCAGACUUCUACGGGAGGCAGCAGUGGGGAAUAUUGGACAAUGGGGGGAACCCUGAUCCAGCCAUGCCGCGUGUGUGAAGAAGGCCUUAUGGUUGUAAAGCACUUUAAGCGAGGAGGAGGCUCUUUUGGUUAAUACCCAAGAUGAGUGGACGUUACUCGCAGAAUAAACACCGGCUAACUCUGUGCCAGCCGCCGCGGUAA
rnacentral:rRNA from 1 species